rnacentral:rRNA from 1 species
GGUCUUUUGUAUUUUAUAUAAGAUCGGACCUGCCCAUUGAUUAAAAAUAUUAAAAGGCUGCGGUAUUUUAACUGUACGAAGGUAGCAUAAUCAUUUGUCUUUUAAUUGAAGGCUAGAAUGAAUGGUUUGAUGAAAUAUAAUCUUUCUUUUUAUAAUUAUUUUGAAUUUAAUUUUUUAGUUAAAAAGCUGAAAUUUUUUUAUAAGACGAGAAGACCCUAUAGAAGUUUACUAUUUUUAUAUAAUAUUAUUUUUUGUUUUAUGGAAUAAAUUUAUAGAAAAAUUAGUUUUGUUGGGGUGACAUUAAAAUUUAUUUAACUUUUAAUUUUUAUUUUCAUUAAUUUAUGUUUUUUUGAUCCAAAAUUUUUGAUUAUAAGAUUAACUUACCUUAGGGAUAACAGCGUAAUUUUUUCGGAGAGUUCUUAUUUAUGGAAAAGUUUGCGA